UUGAGCAGUUCCACGGAUUGUUUGUCAGGCAGCCUACCACGACCGUGACCUCCCAGCCCCUCGGUAACCCGGCUGUUAGCAGCGCGGCCUCCCCGACUGUAAAUGUAGUUAACAUUAUGCCAUAAUCCUGUCCGUGUAUUUGUACUGUGGGAUUCCAGUUCCAUGUUUUACAGUAGCCAGACAGUGAGAGGGACAUGUGAACAAUGUAAGGCCAGCAUACUUCUGAGUAAAGUUCAACUAAAGUAUACAAACGCCCCGACCUCAGUUCUUAUAACAAUAAGCAAUCUCAACAGUCGGAUGUUACAACUGGCGACGAGUGAAACACAAGAGAAGAAUGCAAUUUACAAGACGAACUACGUGCAUACGCCCACCCCCCUUCCCCGUCUCAUUGACGGCCAACCGGCGUACACAGUGUGGCGCCUCCUGAAGAUUCGACCACAGAGCAGGGGAUUCCAGUACCUCGUUGACUGGGAGGGUUAUGGCCCGGAGGAGAGGUGCUCAGUCCCCGCUGCUAAAUGACUAAAAUGAGCAGUGGUAGAGAGCAGAAGCAGGGGUUUCCUAGACCUCAGCCGCACCACUGACAUGAGAAACAUCUCCAUCCUCAACAUCAUGCUCUGGGCAGUGAACUCCAUGAUUUUCUAGUCUCUCCCUCAACACCACCAACAUGAACGGCGACUCCUACCUCAACUACUUUAACUUGGCACUAACAAGAUCGUGACCUACAUGAGCUCCUGGGUUCUGAAUCGACGUUCCCGGCGACCCACUAUCCUCUUCUCCUUGCUGCUUUUCUGUGGCAUUCAUGCUGCUCGUCAUCAAGCUGGUCCCUGAGGAUCUGUGUCUGUACCACAGAUCAGCACAUCCUGUCCCAGGUACUGGCGUUGCUGGACGUGUCUGGGGGCGUACUGUUUCCUCUACCUCUUAUCCACUGCGCUCUUGUACACUGGCCUGGGCAUGGCCUCCAUGGAAGCACGCAUAGAAAGCAUCCUCUCCCCCACGUCAUCUACAUCAGUGUGUGGUGGGGGGGGGGGGAGUUUGUGUGUGCCGGUUUGUGUGUGUGUUUGUGUCAGGUAUGGAUGAUUUCAUGCAUUAGCAAGCAUGAAUGUACACUGAACACAAAUAUAAACGCGUCAUGUAAAAUGUUGGUCCCAUGUUUCAUGAGCUGAAAUAAAAAAAAAUCACAGAA